rnacentral:misc_RNA from 1 species
UUUCCGUAGGUGAACCUGCGGAAGGAUCAUUACCGAGCGAGGGCCCUCUGGGUCCCACCUCCCACCCGUGUCUCUUGUAGCACGUUUCUUCCGCGGUCCCGCCUCACACCCUCCUGGGUGCAUCUCGCCCCCCUGCCCGCGCUCGCCCACGACACCCCCCAACCCUGUCUGAAGACAACAGUCUUAGUGAAAUGUUAAAUUAUUUAAAAUUUUCAACAAAGGAUUCAUCGGUUCCGGCAUCGGUGAAGAACGCAGCAGAUCAGAAAAGCACACGUAUGA